rnacentral:rRNA from 1 species
ACUCCUACGGGAGGCAGCAGUGGGGAAGUAUUGCACAAUGGGCGCAAGCCUGAUGCAGCCAUGCCGCGUGUAUGAAGAAGGCCUUCGGGUUGUAAAGUACUUUCAGCAGUGAGGAAGGCGGAGUCGUUAAUAGCGGCCUCGUUUGACGUUAGCUGCAGAAGAAGCACCGGCUAACUCCGUGCCAGCAGCCGCGGUAAUACGGAGGGUGCGAGCGUUAAUCGGAAUUACUGGGCGUAAAGCGCAUGCAGGUGGUUUGUUAAGUCAGAUGUGAAAGCCCGGGGCUCAACCUCGGAAUUGCAUUUGAAACUGGCAGACUAGAGUACUGUAGAGGGGGGUAGAAUUUCAGGUGUAGCGGUGAAAUGCGUAGAGAUCUGAAGGAAUACCGGUGGCGAAGGCGGCCCCCUGGACAGAUACUGACACUCAGAUGCGAAAGCGUGGGGAGCAAACAGGAUUAGAUACCCUGGUAGGAUAGCG